AAAAGGUUGGAUGUUUAUUGUAUACCUCAAAAGUGAUGACGUUUUGCACAAAGCACAUGGCAGAAAUGGAUUUCGAAGUGGUUGUAGGAACUUAUGAAGAGAUUUUACUUGGGUUUAGAGUUAUCCAAGUAGGCGAGAAUUUCCAAUUGGAGCCAAGUUUCACAGACCAUUCUCAUUCUGGUUGUAUAAAACAUGUGGCUGUGUCAGCAAAAGGAAUGCUUGCAUCGGGAGGAACAGAUGAAACCAUUCAGCUGUUCAGUCUCAGAAAGCGGUCACAGCUAGGAUCCCUGACUCACCAUUCUGGAUCUGUGACCUGUGUACAGUUUUAUAAGAAUUCCCAUAUGUUUAGUGCCAGUGAAGAUGGGACCUUUUGCAUUUGGAAAACAUUUUCAUGGGAAUGCCUGAAGACCCUCAGAGGGCAUAAGGGACCAGUCCUUUCUCUCUCAGUCCACCCCAGUGGGAAAUUAGCAUUAACAGUUGGUCAAGACAAAACUCUGAGAACUUGGAAUCUCAUCACAGGAAAGUCGGCUUACAUCUCGAACAUCAAAAGAGUUGCUGAUAUUGUAUCAUGGUCUCCCAGUGGUGCUUUUUACGCAGUUGUGUUUGCCAGUAAAGUGGAUGUCUAUAAACUAGAGACUGCCUGUGUGUGCUCAUCGUGGACGCUUGAAAAGAAAAUCAACAGCUUUGCCUUCGUUAAUGACAGUAUUGUGGUUUAUGGUGGAGAAGGAGGAAUGGUUUCUUUUUAUGACAUCAACAACAACACAGAAAUCUCAUCAGUCAAUGCAGAGGUCAACAGGAUCAGGGGUAUUUCUUUAAUGAAAUCUGAUGGAUCCGAUGAGGACAAAUACUAUAUGUUUACAGCCUCCAGUGAUGGAUUUCUGAAGAUGUUCUCUGUUAUAGUGGAGGGAACCAAGGUGAAUGUGAAAUGUCUGUCAUCACACAAUGCAGAUUUUAGACUGACUUGUAUAACUGUGAUGAGACCCCAGACUUUAGUGAAGGAGGAAAUCUCUGAGGUUACGGUGAACACAGAUAGUGUUGUUGAGGACAGAUUAUCAGAGAAGGAGGAGGACACAGAACAGAUUGAAUCAAGUGCAAAUAAAAAGUCACCCAAGCGAAAGACAGAGAGAAAUUUAAAGCACAGCAUGAAAGAUAAAGCUGUCAAGCGGUUAGGAAAACAACCACUGCUGAAAAGAAAAGGGAAAAAAAUAAAGAAAGAGAUUGAAGAUACAUAAUGACUUUAAGAUCGCUGGAAACGGCAGUUUUAUCUGUAAAGUUCUACAAUGUUGCCAUUAAAACUGCCUCUUCGGGAAGAGGCGUUAAUCCAAAUAUCUUCAACAAAUCUCGCUGAGAUUGUCACCUCCAGUGCUUGUUUCUGCAAGCCACGAACAUGCUCUCACACUCCAGAGUGAUGAAUUAUCUCUAUUCUCUUUAGAGAAGUGGACAGGCGUAGCCUAAGGAUGAUUCUGAUUUACAAAAAUGUGUGAUUUUCUUAUGUUGACCCUAUACUCCUGUGUUGGUAUGUCUGACAUCUUAUAAAAGCUGGUAACAUACACAUUUUCUUUGGUUAUUAAUUAAAUUAAAACUGCAUUGAGUGGAAAUUAAUACAGUUUUUUCCACCUUUUCAACCCAUUCUCUCACCAGAGGGCGCGCUACGCAUGCUUCUCUUUGUGGAGCGUAGCGUAACGCCCUCUGGUGAGAGAUUGCUUUUCAACCAUUAAUAGUUACAAGUCGUAUGAGGAUAGAGUAGCCUGGUUCCCGAGGCCUUCCGAUGUGCAAGCACGAAGGCCAGGCACUCACUGUCGAAUGGAUUCUUCCACUGAUCAAAAUCCAAUAUGGCGGACUCAAUGAUAAUUUUCCAUACAUAUGGAAAGAAGAAACAUAUGAUAGUGGGUGAAAAAAACACCCUCAUAUAUAAUGCUUCAUGAAUAUGCAAAACCAUGCCAACAGUCUACAGACUCCAGAUGGAAAGAGAUGGAGAAAGAAUUUCUAAAGGGGUAUUCAAGGACCCAUCCUCCUCCACACUAAUUCAUAUUGGAAGGAAUUGACAUCCAACUUGAAUAAAGAAUUACAGACUUCCAGAACAGGUGCAUCAUGCAGAUCCUUUUAAAAAGGAGAGGCCAGAUCUUCAGAUGACUUUAUUGAAAAUGAGAAAUUUCUGAGUGGAAGUGACGAAUGUGGCAUGCAUACAAGCAGACAUCAGCAUUCCCUCCCUCUUGUUAGUAUCAGAGGUGAGCUUUUUGAGAAAGACUCAUGGAGGAAGUUUGAGAGUGUCAGUUCUCAGAUCAAAAAGUUAGCUAGCAGUAGGAGGAGUAGCAAUUCAUUCAACAGUAUGACAUGAGAAAUACAUGACUAGAAAGACCUUAAAAAGGAGAUUUGGCAUUGUUUCAUGUGGAGAUUAAAGAACCUUCGAAAUAUAUAACACAGACAUGUUUCAGUUACUUGGGGAUAACACUUAUGAGGAAUUUUGCUAACUUUCAGAUUGGAAUGUGUUGCACAAGAAAUGCUUGAUCACAACCCUCUUCUGUUAAAAACCUUUUCCAUGCAAAUAGUGUAAAUGAAAUUUAGCUAUUUCAUUAGUAAACAUGUUUUCUGCGCAAGUGUGUGUCUUUGACAUUAAAUGCUAUGAUAUUGUCGUAUUCUUAAACAAUGGAAGAUCUCUACUAGUUCUUUCAAAGGAAAGCCAACAACAGGAAUCGAACCUGUUCCUCCAUCGUACAGAUACGAAAGUGUGCACCAUUACACCAUGUUGGCAUACAUUAAGAACUGGUAGCUUUGGAGAGUAAAUAUUACAUUAUUCUGUACAGUUGAUACUGGUUUGUGUGAUAUAUGUAUAAAUAUAUAUAUAUAUACAAGUAUAUAUAAUGUAUGCCUCAUGUUUGGUAGUCGUCAAUAAAGCAUUUGAAUUGAA